CAGUUGUCAGCUGACUAAACAAAAAUAAAAUCCCGCGUUUCAGUGAGUCGCAUUUUUUGUUAAUUGGACAUAUGUGAAGUUUUUAAUCUGUAAAUUUGUUAAUAGUAGUUAAAAAUUAGUUAAAACGUAAUAUAACAUGUCUUCUACUCGUGAGAUUGUCACAUUACAAUUCGGCAACUAUGCAAACUAUAUUGGAGCGCAUUGGUGGAAUAUACAGGAAUCCAGCUUUAGUUACAAUCCUGAAGACGCGCCUUCAGAAAUUUCUCAUGACGUAUUGUACAGAGAAGGUGUCAAUUUAAAUAGGCAGGUAACAUAUACACCUCGUCUAUUGCUUGUUGAUUUAGAUGGGUCCCUGAAGCAUCUGCCGCGUGAAGGUGAGCUGUACGGAAACAGUAUAAAACGUACAAAUGAAAGCAUAGAAUCGACUGACGAUGUCAAGAAAAUUAAAGAGGAGCUUCAAAAUCUGUCCGCAGAUGUGGAAGUAGUAGAGCAACCACAUGCUAGUAAACAUGAUUUCCAAAAAGAUCUCGAAGACCCUGUAAUCGAUAUACAAGAGAAAAAUUAUAAUUUGGCUGAUAAUGUUGAUACAUGGACGGAUUACCUUUAUGCCCGGUAUCACCCACGAACUGUAAAUAUAGUUAACGAUUAUAAACAUAGUACAGAGAAGCAAACUUUCGAUACCUACGCAUGUGGUGUACAACUUUGGCAAACUGAGCAAUUCGAAGAUGAAUUCUGUGAUAAAAUACGACAAUAUGUUGAAGAGUGCGACUUUCUGCAAGGCUUUCAAACAUUGUUUGACUGCUUUAAUGGUUACUCAGGCUUGGCCACCGCAUGCAUGGAAUACCUCAAUGACGAAUAUGGAAAAGCAAAUUUUGCUAUACCAGUCUAUUCACCACGUAAUACGCCAUUUGAAAAUGCAGAUGAACCCAUGUCGGACUCUAUACGUGUCGUUAAUAGCGCAUUGGCGUUCCACAAGUUAAGCGAACAAGCUUCACUGUUUGUACCGCUCAGCACAAGCGAUCGUGUGUGGCGGCAAUUGGGUGCAGCGCGUCAACUGCGCUCACUUACUUACCAGCCAGAUAAUUUGUAUCAGACAUCUGCUGUACUCGCAGCAUACUUGGAUACAAUUUCGUUGCGGUAUCGGCUGCGCAAUGCGCCUAGUGCUUACUCGCUUGCUGGUUUCUGUGGUGAUUUAAAUAAUUACGGCCGCAAAUUGGCGGGCGCCGCUUUUGCACUGCCAUUCCCUAUGCAACACAAACAAGAUCUUAUUGAUUGCUUGGAUCAAUUUGAAGGGCCAAUUUUCACAUCACUCACACCCAACUGCAACAUUGGCACCGAUUAUGUAAUACAAACAUUGUGUGUACGCGGUAUAACACGCGAUCGCCUAAAACAGCCUUUGGAGAAAGCUAAAGAACAAAUGCGCAUGGCCGCAUAUAAAUGUGAUAGCGUCUCUGAAAUGUUCCAAUUGUACUUGCAAUGUGCCAAUCAUGCGAGUAUGUCACAUGUGGCAUCGGUGUCAAUGGCUAUGCCAACGCGUAUACCAUUUCCAAGUGAAAUGUUUGCCGAAGAAAUGACAAAAUUGGGUUUUCUCUCGCCAACCACAAAAAGGCAACCAGAAGAGAAAGUUGUAUCUGUGCCUACGUUAGCCGCUGCGCAGUCAUCUAGCGAGUUGGGUGAUACGCUAGAAACGCUGCAUCGCGAGGCUAAACGUGUGAAAAUAGCCAAACUGCACCGUUAUAAAGCAGCUGGCUUGGAGGAAGAUGAUUAUGUCGACGCGCUCGAGCAGCUGUUGCUGUUCAAAGACAAUUACGAAGAUAACUUUGAGUUGUAGACAAAAGUGAAAACGCGAAAUAUUUAUACUCGUAAAAUAGUAAUUAGUGUGGUUAAGAACACGCGAAUACGAAAUACUUUAACAUAUAAUGCAUGAAUAUGUGACUAAGCUAAAUAGAAUUACACUCAUAGCAGAGUCAAGACACAUAUUUUAUACAACUUUGAUGAACCAUCAUUGAAGCAUCACUCUAAAAAUAAUCUAAACUACAAUAUAUUUCACUUUAAAGUUUGCUGGGUUGUUUAACUUCAAAGGCCGCCAAGCAACUCUUCGCUAAUUACAUACUACAUAU